UGAAGGUGCGUCGCACACUCGCACUUGAGUAGUGGGAAAGUGAGUGGAAAAUGCAUUAACUAAAAGGUUUUAGUAUAACUUAUGAGCCGCUCACUUGGACAACCACAAAGAUAAAACUACCAAGAUUGUCAAACAAGUGCCAGAGGAUUUUGCUAUGAAUGGGAAAGCAAAAUCUAAUGAGUCUAGCAGACACAAGACUCUGAAAGGAGCUGAACGAUUCAGUGGCAAGAGGCCGGUCGCUCAAUGGAGCAAGAACUGGAUAAUUGGCAGGUGGAUCGCGUUGGUCUCUCUAGUCUUUUUUCUACUGGUAGUCGACAUACAAUCCUUCCAUCUUCUCCGUAAAUACAAUCCAGAAGACACGGUUUAUGGUUUGUUUAUAAUGGGGCUUGGGAAUUUGGUCGGUUUUAGUUUCCUAGGUACGCAGGCUCAAGAACUAGUUCAAGAUGCAAAGAACACAUAUGAUGUGCCUUCCUGGUGUUACGGGUUGGCGAGCUCCAGAGCUCAUUGAAGAUCCAAGACCAGACUGGAGUAAGAUCGGACUUCGUGAUGUACGACAUUUUACUGAUCAGCCAGUCAUGAAAUUCGUCAGAAAAGCUUAAUCCGAGCAAGUGGCUAGUUUGAAGGAAAAUCAUUUGUUUGCAAAUGUUUGAAUGUAACAUCUUUCAAACAAUUUUGUUACUAUUCCCCCUUAUAUUGUAUAUGUUAUAUAAUUGAUCUCUAUGUAUUGUAAUCUCCAUUUUUCCUA